rnacentral:misc_RNA from 1 species
GAUGAAGAACGCAGCGAAAUGCGAUAAGUAAUGUGAAUUGCAGAAUUCAGUGAAUCAUCGAGUCUUUGAACGCACAUUGCGCCCCCUGGUAUUCCGGGGGGCAUGCCUGUCCGAGCGUCAUUGCUGCCCUCAAGCACGGCUUGUGUGUUGGGCCCCCGCCCCCCGGUCCCGGGGGGCGGGCCCGAAAGGCAGCGGCGGCACCGCGUCCGGUCCUCGAGCGUAUGGGGCUUUGUCACCCGCUCUGUAGGCCCGGCCGGCGCCCGCCGGCGACCCCAAUCAAUCUUUUUCAGGUUGACCUCGGAUCAGGUAGGGAUACCCGCUGAACUUAAGCAUAUCAAUAGCGGAGGA